rnacentral:sRNA from 1 species
AUCCGUGCUGCUGCCUGCCUUUGGGGGAAGAGGAGGCCUCACACCACAUCCCCAGGUGGCCAUGUGGCCUCGACGCCACUGACCCAGGAUCAGGAGAGGCUGAGCUCCUUUCUCAGCAGCUUCUUCCUGUGGCCCCAGCCUCCGUGCCCUCUUCCCUCCAGGGGGGACUCGGUGCCUGCCUGGGGAGGAAGGAGAGGCGUCGCAGGCGUCUGAGCUGGGCCACAGCCUGAACGAGAACGUCCUCAAGCCUGCGCAGGAGAAGGUGAAGGAGGGAAAGAUUUUUGAUGAUGUGUCCAGUGGGGUCUCUCAGUUGGCGUCCAAGGUAGGGAGCCUGCCAGAUACGCGGGCACAGUCGAAGCCAGUCUCCAUAUUCCACGGCCCUGGGCGUGAGAGCAGGGUGUGCCCCGUGCAGCCCUCAGCCCAGCUCGGCAGUGGCCGCUGUCCUCUGAGACGGGAGGAGAGCUGCCCAGCCUGACGGCCCGAGGGAUAUGGAAACAGCUUGGCCCACUGCGGCCCGGUCAGCCACUAACUGUCACUUCUCCCUCUGCUCUUAUCUUG